AACGAACGCUGGCGGCAGGCCUAAUACAUGCAAGUCGAACGCUUGUAGCAAUACAAGAGUGGCGCACGGGUGAAUAACACGUGGGAAUAUGCCUUUUGGUACGGGACAACCUCGGGAAACUGAGGCUAAUACCGUAUGGUCCCUUCGGGGUAAAGAUUUAUCGCCAAAAGAUUAGCCCGCGUCUGAUUAGCUAGUUGGUGAGGUAACGUCUCACCAAGGCGACGAUCAGUAGCUGGUCUGAGAGGACGAUCAGCCACACUGGGACUGAGACACGGCCCAGACUCCUACGGGAGGCAGCAGUAGGGAAUAUUGGACAAUGGGCGCAAGCCUGAUCCAGCCAUGCCGCGUGAGUGAUGAAGGCCUUCGGGUUGUAAAACUCUUUAGCCCGCGAAUAAAAUGACUGUAGCGGGAAAAUAAGCCCCGGCUAACUUCGUGCCAGCCGCCGCCGUAA
rnacentral:rRNA from 1 species